UAGCAAUACAUCAGUGGCGAAAGGGUGCGUAACACGUGGGCAAUCUGCCGUGAAGUGGGGGAUAGCUCGCCGAAAGGCGAAUUAAUACCGCAUGUGGUGAGCCAAGACAUCUUGGCGAAACUAAAGUUGGGGCAACCUAACGCUUCAUGAUGAGCCCGCGGCCUAUCAGCUAGUUGGUGAGGUAACGGCUCACCAAGGCAAUGACGGGUAGCUGGUCUGAGAGGACGACCAGCCACACUGGAACUGAGACACGGUCCAGACACCUACGGGUGGCAGCAGUCGAGAAUUUUUCUCAAUGGGCGAAAGCCUGAAGGAGCGACGCCGCGUGGAGGAUGAAGGGUUUCGGCUUGUAAACUCCUGUCAUUGGGGAACAAUGCUAUGGGGAGUAACUGCCCUUUAGUUGAUAGUACCCGAAGAGGAAGAGACGGCUAACUCUGUGCCAGCAGCCGCGGUAAUACAGAGGUCUCAAGCGUUGUUCGGAUUCAUUGGGCGUAAAGGGUGCGUAGGCGGUGAGGUAAGUCGGAUGUGAAAUCCCGGGGCUCAACCCCGGAACUGCAUUCGAUACUGCUUUACUUGAGGACUGGAGAGGAGAUUGGAAUUCUCGGUGUAGCA
rnacentral:rRNA from 1 species